rnacentral:rRNA from 1 species
AACGAACGCUGGCGGCGCGCCUAAUACAUGCAAGUCGAGCGGACUUGAUGAAGUGCUUGCACUUCUGAUGGUUAGCGGCGGACGGGUGAGUAACACGUAGGUAACCUGCCUAUAAGACUGGGAUAACAUUCGGAAACGAAUGCUAAUACCGGAUACGCGAAUUGGUCGCAUGGCCGAAUCGGGAAAGACGGAGCAAUCUGUCACUUAUAGAUGGACCUGCGGCGCAUUAGCUAGUUGGUGAGGUAACGGCUCACCAAGGCGACGAUGCGUAGCCGACCUGAGGGGGUGAUCGGCCACACUGGGACUGAGACACGGCCCAGACUCCUACGGGAGGCAGCAGUAGGGAAUCUUCCGCAAUGGACGAAAGUCUGACGGAGCAACGCCGCGUGAGUGAUGAAGGUUUUCGGAUCGUAAAGCUCUGUUGCCAGGGAAGAACGCUUGGGAGAGUAACUGCUCUCAAGGUGACGGUACCUGAGAAGAAAGCCCCGGCUAACUACGUGCCAGCCGCCGCCGUAA